GCCCUGCCCCCUCUUAAAAAUAAAUUUUCCUACUCCAAAACAUCUUAUUUCCCCUAAUUUUAAUUAUUUCCCCUCAUUUUUGACAGCUAACAAACAUUUUUGUUUAUAAAUAAUAAACAGUGUACAGUGUCAAUUUUAUAAAUGUAAACAUAACUCGUGUUGACAUGUAUUCGAGAGGCGAGUUAUCAUAGGAUAUCUAAAGAUUUUUAGCCGGCUUUCAAGUACUCUUUGGAAUUAAGCGAUAGUAGUCAAAAAAUUGAUCAAUUAUGUGGUACAUUCCAAUGAUAA
rnacentral:lncRNA from 1 species